CCGAUGUUGCAAUAAAGAUAAUUGAUUGGAAAAACCCUGAUUAUUUACCCAAAUGAAUAUAGGAAGUACACCAAAUAUAGUUCUAUUGAGUAAUGGUAAUUAAUAUUGUCGAGUCAGCGCAUCAGAGGUCGGGGGUGACUACAGUGGGAUGACACACAAUAUUAUUUUUAGAUCCUUCUCUUCUUGUAUCUGACCGUCACAGCAGUUUUGCAUCUGGAGAAAAUAUCUACGUCAUCCCCUGCGAGACUUCGCGGGAACUUGGUAUUAUUAUUAUUUUUCAAAUUCAAGAGACGGAGGCCCUGUUUUUACUGGCAUUGUCGACCUGACGUGAUGGAGUUGGACGAUAUUUCGGACUGCGGGAGUCUGGAGGACGGCGAACUGGACGAGGAAUUACUGUCUGCCACGAUGGAGGCGCUGCAGACAGGAAAACUCACGCCACUUCUAAAGACGGAGCUUAAAUGUAGAAUCCAGAAAAAGUGCUUUGACGAGGGGAAAGAUUUAACUUUGGACGACGAACCAAAAAUGGUUCAAAAUAAACCCCCGCUACUGCCAUUUGAGAUAGAGAGACUGGAAAGAAGAAAAGAACAGAAUCGCCGAGCCGCCAAGAAGUUCCGCCAAAAAAGGCGACAAGCAUCGGGAGAGUUGAAGAAGAUUGUCGUCGAAUUGGAGGAAAAGAACCGCCAGCUCAAAGAAGAAAUUAAGAGACUACUGACGGAAACGGACAUGAUUCGAGCCGUGUUGUCCAGUCAGCUGUGUUCGCCGGAGCCCGAGACCCUCCCUCCCUCAGGGUCAUCGCUUCACCCCCGGGAAUUCACCCUACACUGACACUGAUGGUCGUUAAUUGUUUGCAUAUUGUGUAUAAACUGUCAAUCUUUUCAUCUCAUACAUGCAUAUAGACCACAAAGAUGGGUAAUUCAAUUUUUGUUUUGAGUCAUUAUCAUAAAUUAUAAAUGAAGCAUCUCAUAUGUUGAACAUAACUGAAAAUAAUAACUGCAGAUUGUUCUCAUAUUGAUAACAUAGAAGCAAGUUUAUACUGUUGUGAAAAAAAAAAACGAGUUAACACUUAGUAAUAGGGGAUUAAGAUUAUCUAGGCUCUUAACUGAUGCUUAGGUGGCAUAUAAACUAAUCAACAGUAUAAUUCUUCGUCUUCUAAUUAAAGCAAUGAAUAUAUGUGGCCUUACCUCAGCUGUUUCUCAACGAGAAAAAUUCCGUAACAGACUCUCAAAUUCAUCUCAGUCCUGAAAAAGACAAAUGCUGUCUCUAACAAAAUAGCUUUUGAAAAAGUUGAUCUCAAUUUUGUAUAUUGCAUAUCAUCAAAUGAUGUAAAAUUUGCAUUGUUUUGUCUAAUGAAGUAGAUUAGAAAAAUAUUUACAAAAAUUGUCUUUAAAAAAAUAUAAAAAAUGUGAUUUAAAAAAAUUAGUUAUAUAGUUUACAAUAGAUUGUUAAAUAUUGUACAGAUUUAUCUUGGCAUGGAGAAAACAUAACUGCAAUGUCGACAAGAUGGCUGUUGGUAAACAAAUCUUACAUUGUUGUUUUUUUCUAUAUUGGUAUCUUGUAUAUUUGGGUUGAUGACAGUAGGAACUUUUUUUCCAGAGUCUCUUAUUUUUGGGCUCAAUGGCAUUCCUCGUUCUUUCGAAGUUUUAUUUGUUCUGAGGAAUGGAGAUGUGUUCGUUGUCCGAUAAGGCAACAUAUCCAGUAUAUUUAAUGAUGGAGUUUGUACUACUUCCUAUUGUUUCAGAUAACGCACAAUGUUCAUGUUUUAUGUGUUGCUUUGCGUACAGAAAAAAUGUACAAGUUUUGUUUUUAUUAUUUUUUUUGUAAAUAAAAUAUUCUUUACAAAUAAUUAUGUCCUUGUAGUCUGUACACAACACACAUUAAUGUAUUCUUUCCGUCCAUUAGACUCCAAGAAAAUCGUCGUAAAAUAUUAUUGUCAUAUUUAAACAUCUAUAACUGAUCACAUACACUGUUUUGGCUGCUUUCCAAAGUCGAUAGACUUUGACAUACGCCUCGCCGAUACUAGCUGAUCGACUGGGGUCACAUUAAAGGUCACUCUAACACAGUCCAGACGGUUGUGACAUCACCGGGACAAGCAUUGAGCGCCGAAGUUUAUUUUAAAUUCCGGAUAAUAUAUCCUCCGAGGUUGUUGUCCAAAUUCGUCCCCUUUUCUGGAUAAAAUUCACCUCCAGGAUCGAUAUUUGUGUACCUGAAGCGAGCUUCUAAAACUGGAGUAACAAUAACAAAUAGUGCUGCAUGUUGAGGACCGGCUGUUCUGUUUUUUCCAUGUUCCACAAGCCUCCGAGGACGCCUAGCUGUGAGGUUUACACACUUCACUUGACGACAACUUCCCGGGCAGACGACCGGAUACUCACAGUGCAAACUAUCGUCUGGUCACGGAGACCUUUACGUACCAAUGUCAAACAGAUAGAUGAUAACGUUUCAUUUUGCCAAAGAAUUGCCGACACAGCAUCUUAAAUGUCUUGCUUUUUCAUUCAUGGCGAAUUUGCAAAAGAGGAAGAGUUUACAAGGAUGUGUUACGUGAAUGAAAUUCGUUCUCCCGGAAAUAAGGAGAAAAUUUGAAUAUUCAUAUCUGGUGGAAGUUAUAUGACCUAGGAUUUUUGAAAAAUCAAUCAGUCAACUUCCCUAAUUCGAUCUGCAUCCCGAUUCCGACUUGUAUGUACCUUUUCAUGGAAACAUUAGCUGCAAAUGCAACCAGCUUUCAAUAUAUGACACGGAGUAGGUUCACAUUUAUAAUUUACUUUGAGAAAAUUAUGACGAAUGACAGUAGAAGGUACUGAAGAAAAAGUUGACAGUGGAACGGACUCGAAAGAUUCCAUGGAUCCAAACUGAUGAAAAGAAACACUAUGACACUUACCUGUUCAUUUACCUGUGCAUCAGAAGUGAUGGAAACCGGUAGCCGUGAUGAUAAGAAAUUGAGCGUAACCAGAUUGCCUGUUCACCUGAUAUGCCACCUUGUGUUAUUAUAAUAUAAUAUCUUUUCAAAAGGCGUAGAAAGAUACAUAUUUUCAAAAUGUAACGGGUUUACAUUUGACAAGAGAGAUAAAAUAUUAGUGAAAAAGAUUCUAUCUAAAAAGGAUCAACCAUAAAAAGAAAAAUCGCACUUGGAUUUUUAACGUGUGUUUUUUGUUGUUUAUGUCAUAAAUGCAAUUACAGAUGGUAAAUUUAUUUUUUUUUUCUCUAUCAAAGAAGUGCUAUUCUAUGGAAUUCUAUAGAAUUACCAUCUGCCAGGCAUCGACAAUGUUGGAUAACUCAGGUAUUCAAUUUCAGAAUAUCAAAGCGACCUUUGUCAGCAUUCUCUCUGUGAAGCAACACAUACAGUGCUGUGAAACUGCAAGAAUCUUUUGUCUUUUUAACAUUAAUAUGCAUACAUUUCAAAUGAGAUCGAGAAGAAAUAAGAUUUACAAGCUUAUCCUCAUGUUUUAUGUUUUACAUUUUGUGUCAGUAUUGGCAUAAUAUAUCCAUGGGAUAGGUAUGGUUUUUCCUAGUUGCAUUUGAUUGCCACUUUUAUUAAAAUUAAAGCCCAUACUUUUGUUUAACAACACACCAUUUUCCAAACAAUGGUUGAAGAUUGGUGUGUGAAUUGAACCGUGGAAUAAACUAUCACGUGUCCAUUUAAAAAAUCAAUGAUUUAAAAUGCGUCCUGGACUGAUUUCUUGAUAUAAAUAAUAUGCUGUUGCAAUGUGCAAAGUACAGGAACAGCAAAGGCGUUAUCAGAUAAGUAAAUAUCUAGUGAACAGCUGUUGGCAAGUCACAUAAACGAUAUUGUCAAAGUACGAGGGAUUCCGAACGAAUGAAAACAAAAGAGGUCAUAAUUAAUAAUAAAAGCUUCAGCAGUUUGAAAGUAGGAUGGGUACUACUGAAGAGUGGCGACUAUCCGUCUCCUACUUCAUAAUUGUUAUUUUUCUUAAUUAUGAUUAUUAUGAUUAAAAAUACUUUUUAUCUGAAUCGUACUAGAAAAAGUUUGCUCUCUCGUUGGUGAUGUUUUAAAUGCAGUCUCAAUGGUUGGUGGCUUUAUUCAAAAUAAAGUAUUUUGAAAUGCA